rnacentral:rRNA from 1 species
UGGGGAAUCUUGCACAAUGGGGGAAACCCUGAUGCAGCGACGCCGCGUGAACGAUGAAGCCCUUCGGGGUGUAAAGUUCUUUCGACAGGAACGAUAAUGACGGUACCUGGAGAAGAAGCUGCGGCUAACUACGUGCCAGCAGCCGCGGUAAUACGUAGGCAGCGAGCGUUGUUCGGAGUUACUGGGCGUAAAGAGUGCGUAGGCGGCGAGCCAAGUUUGGUGUGAAAUCUCCCGGCUUAACCGGGAGGGUGCGCCGAAAACUGGUUUGCUGGAGUAUGGGAGAGGAAAGCGGAAUUCCUGGUGUAGCGGUGAAAUGCGUAGAUAUCAGGAGGAACACCUGCGGUGUAGACAGCUUUCUGGACCAAAACUGACGCUGAGGCACGAAAGCGUGGGUAGCAAACA